rnacentral:rRNA from 1 species
AAUCAACGCUGGCGGCGUGCCUCAGACAUGCAAGUCGAACGCGAAAGGUUCCUUCGGGAACCCGGUAGAGUGGCGCACGGGUGAGUAACACGUGGGUAAUUUACCUUCAGGUGGGGAAUAACAAUCGGAAACGAUUGCUAAUACCGCAUAAUGCAGCGGCACCACAUGGUGACAGUUGUUAAAGCGGGGGAGUCGAAGACCUCGCGCCGGAAGAGAAGCCCGCGGCAGAUUAGCAGUUGGUGAGGUAAUGGCUCACCAAGGCUUCGAUCUGUAGCCGGCCUGAGAGGGCGGUCGGCCACACUGACACUGACAUACGGGUCAGACUCCUACGGGAGGCAGCAGUCGGGAAUUUUGGGCAAUGGGCGAAAGCCUGACCCACGCAACGCCGCGUGAAGGAUGAAAUCUUUCGGG